UACGUAGGGUGCGAGCGUUAAUCGGAAUUACUGGGCGUAAAGCGUGCGCAGGCGGCGCGUUAAGACAGGUGUGAAAGCCCCGAGCUUAACUUGGGAAUUGCGCUUGUGACUGGCGUGCUGGAGUGUGGCAGAGGGAGGUGGAAUUCCAGGUGUAGCGGUGAAAUGCGUAGAUAUCUGGAGGAACACCGGUGGCGAAGGCGGCAUCCUGGACCGACACUGACGCUGAGGAGCGAAAGCCAGGGGAGCAAACGGG
rnacentral:rRNA from 1 species